CGCUCCAAGUAAAAUUAGAGAUGAUGCAUCACUAUGUUUCAAUUUAGUAAAAUUUUGAUCAAAGUAGUCCUAGUGAGGAGUCACAGAAUUUUUAAAGUUGAGAUGCAAUGUUGACCACUUUUUCUGGGUUGACAAUUUAACCCUUAGUCAUCCUUGAGCAUCAAGUGUCAAAAGGAUGAAUUAUACGGUAACUAUAUCCACAUGGGUUCUAGAGUGUUGCUGGGCAUACAUUCGGCCUAUCCGGAC
rnacentral:lncRNA from 1 species